rnacentral:misc_RNA from 1 species
ACGAAUUGUAAUGGGAGUUGAUGCUGGCAGCUUGGCUGUAAUGUGCUCGCUCCUGAUCGCAAACACCUGUGCACAUAUUUAGAGAGGGGUCUCCGAGUUGUGCACGCUUGGGGUCCCUUGCUCUGAUAGACACAUUAGUUAAAUAUUGAACGUGAUUGUGCCGUGAGGCCUUAAUAUUAAUA